rnacentral:tRNA from 1 species
CGGGGUGUGGCGCAGCGGGAGCGCGCCUGUUUUGGGAACAGGAGGUCGCCGGUUCAAUCCCGGCCACCCCGACCA